rnacentral:rRNA from 1 species
AUUGAACGCUGGCGGCAUGCCUUACACAUGCAAGUCGAACGGCAGCACGGGAGCAAUCCUGGUGGCGAGCGGCGAACGGGUGAGUAAUAUAUCGGAACGUGCCCAGUCGUGGGGGAUAACGCAGCGAAAGCUGUGCUAAUACCGCAUACGAUCUAAGGAUGAAAGCGGGGGAUCGCAAGACCUCGCGCGAUUGGAGCGGCCGAUAUCAGAUUAGCUAGUUGGUGGGGUAAAGGCCCACCAAGGCGACGAUCUGUAGCUGGUCUGAGAGGACGACCAGCCACACGGGAACUGGGACACGGGCCAGACUCCUACGGGAGGCAGCAGUGGGGAAUUUUGGACAAUGGGCGCAAGCCUGAUCCAGCAAUGCCGCGUGCAGGAUGAAGGCCUUCGGGUUGUAAACUGCUUUUGUACGGAACGAAACGGCCCUUUCUAAUACAGGGGGCUAAUGACGGUACCGUAAGAAUAAGCACCGGCUAACUACGUGCCAGCCGCCGCGGUAA